rnacentral:rRNA from 1 species
UCAAAUGGAGAGUUUGAUCCUGGCUCAGGAUGAACGCUGGCGGCAUGCCUAAUACAUGCAAGUCGAACGAGAGACCUUCGGGUCUCUAGUGGCGAACGGGUG